GAUCAUGGCUCAGGAUGAACGCUAGCUACAGGCUUAACACAUGCAAGUCGAGGGGAAACGACAUCGAAAGCUUGCUUUGAUGGGUGUCGACCGGCGCACGGGUGAGUAACGCGUAUCCAACCUGCCCAUCACUUGGGAAUAACCUUGCGAAAGUAAGACUAAUGCCCAAUGACAUUUAUAGAAGGCAUCCGAAAUGAAUUAAAGAUUUAUCGGUGAUGGAUGGGGAUGCGUCUGAUUAGCUUGUUGGCGGGGUAACGGCCCACCAAGGCGACGAUCAGUAGGGGUUCUGAGAGGAAGGUCCCCCACAUUGGAACUGAGACACGGUCCAAACUCCUACGGGAGGCAGCAGUGAGGAAUAUUGGUCAAUGGGCGGAAGCCUGAACCAGCCAAGUAGCGUGCAGGACGACGGCCCUAUGGGUUGUAAACUGCUUUUAUGCGGGGAUAAAGUGGGCCACGCGUGGCCUUUUGCAGGUACCGCAUGAAUAAGGACCGGCUAAUUCCGUG
rnacentral:rRNA from 1 species